CCUACGGGUGGCAGCAGUGAGGAAUAUUGGUCAAUGGACGAGAGUCUGAACCAGCCAAGUAGCGUGAAGGAUGACUGCCCUAUGGGUUGUAAACUUCUUUUAUAUGGGAAUAAAAUGUUCCACGUGUGGGAUUUUGUAUGUACCAUAUGAAUAAGGAUCGGCUAACUCCGUGCCAGCAGCCGCGGUAAUACGGAGGAUCCGAGCGUUAUCCGGAUUUAUUGGGUUUAAAGGGAGCGUAGGUGGAUUGUUAAGUCAGUUGUGAAAGUUUGCGGCUCAACCGUAAAAUUGCAGUUGAAACUGGCAGUCUUGAGUACAGUAGAGCUGGGCGGAAUUCGUGGUGUAGCGGUGAAAUGCUUAGAUAUCACGAAGAACUCCGAGUGCGAAGGCAGUUCACUGGACUGCAACUGACACUGAGGCUCGAAAGUGUGGGUAUCAAACAGGAGUAGAUACCCUAGUAGUC
rnacentral:rRNA from 1 species